rnacentral:rRNA from 1 species
UACGAAGGGGGCUAGCGUUGUUCGGAAUUACUGGGCGUAAAGGGCGCGUAGGCGGUGUGUCAAGUCAGGCGUGAAAGCCCCGGGCUCAACCUGGGAACAGCGCUUGAGACUGGCACGCUCGAGUUCGGGAGAGGAUGGUGGAAUUCCCAGUGUAGAGGUGAAAUUCGUAGAUAUCUGGAGGAACACCGGUGGCGAAGGCGGCAUCCUGGACCAACACUGACGCUGAUGAGCGAAAGCCAGGGGAGCAAACGGG